rfam:Pisolithus tinctorius Marx 270 unplaced genomic scaffold scaffold_10, whole genome shotgun sequence.
GACCAAAUAGCUCAGUGGUUAGAGCACCUGGUCAAAAACCUGGGAGGUCCAGGGUUCAAUCCCCUGUCUGGUCG